UGGGGAAUUUUGGACAAUGGGCGAAAGCCUGAUCCAGCCAUGCCGCGUGCGGGAAGAAGGCCUUCGGGUUGUAAACCGCUUUUGUCAGGGAAGAAAAGCGCCAGGCUAAUACCUUGGCGUCAUGACGGUACCUGAAGAAUAAGCACCGGCUAACUACGUGCCAGCAGCCGCGGUAAUACGUAGGGUGCAAGCGUUAAUCGGAAUUACUGGGCGUAAAGCGUGCGCAGGCGGUCGUGCAAGACAGAUGUGAAAUCCCCGGGCUCAACCUGGGAACUGCAUUUGUGACUGCACGGCUUGAGUGCGGCAGAGGGGAAUGGAAUUCCGCAUGUAGCAGUGAAAUGCGUAGAUAUGCGGAGGAACACCGAUGGCGAAGGCAAUUCCCUGGGCCUGCACUGACGCUCA
rnacentral:rRNA from 1 species